AUGAAGAAACUUGGACUUCUCCCUGCUUCACAGAUGGGUUAUGAGGCACUCCAAAGAAAGCGGCAUUCUAAGAAGUAUUAUGACCAUCUCCUUGGAAACCACGUGGCAUCACUUUACCACAUUCUUUUGGUCACAAGGAGAAGGAAUUAUAUACCAGCUGUUUUUGGAGGCAUGUGUCAGGCUGGAAUGCACUGGCACAAUCAUGGCUCACUGCUGCCAUGGACUCAUUCCUGGGCUCAAGUCAUCCUCCCACCUCAGCCUUCUGAGCAGCAAGGACUACAGAAUGCCUUGCUUUACCGCCUCUUGUAA
rnacentral:lncRNA from 1 species